AUGUAGUCGAAUGGCCAAGGCAUUACCCUCCUAAGGCAGAGGCUGCAGGCUCGAGCCCUGCCUGGGGUA